UGGGGAAUAUUGCACAAUGGGCGCAAGCCUGAUGCAGCCAUGCCGCGUGUAUGAAGAAGGCCUUCGGGUUGUAAAGUACUUUCAGCGGGGAGGAAGGGAGUAAAGUUAAUACCUUUGCUCAUUGACGUUACCCGCAGAAGAAGCACCGGCUAACUCCGUGCCAGCAGCCGCGGUAAUACGGAGGGUGCAAGCGUUAAUCGGAAUUACUGGGCGUAAAGCGCACGCAGGCGGUUUGUUAAGUCAGAUGUGAAAUCCCCGGGCUCAACCUGGGAACUGCAUCUGAUACUGGCAAGCUUGAGUGUCGUAGAGAGGGGUAGAAUUCCAGGUGUAGCGGUGAAAUACGUGGAGAUCUGGGGGAAUACCGGUGGCGAAGGCGGCCCCCUGGGCGAAGACUGACGCUCAGGUGCGAAAGCGUGGGGAGCAAACAGG
rnacentral:rRNA from 1 species